GCGCGUGUGCCGGAGAGGUCAAACGGUCCGGCCUGCAAAGCCGGAAUUCGGUGGUUCGAAUCCACCCGCGCGCU
rnacentral:tRNA from 1 species